rnacentral:rRNA from 1 species
CCUACGGGAGGCAGCAGUAAGGAAUAUUGGUCAAUGGACGAAAGUCUGAACCAGCCAUGCCGCGUGAAGGAUUAAGGCCCUCUGGGUUGUAAACUUCUUUUAUCUGGGACGAAAAAAGGGUAUUCUUACUCACUUGACGGUACCAGAGGAAUAAGCACCGGCUAACUCCGUGCCAGCAGCCGCGGUAAUACGGAGGGUGCAAGCGUUAUCCGGAUUUACUGGGUUUAAAGGGUGCGUAGGUGGGCUUGUAAGUCAGUGGUGAAAUCUCCGGGCUUAACCCGGAAACUGCCAUUGAUACUAUAGGUCUUGAAUUAUCUGGAGGUAAGCGGAAUAUGUCAUGUAGCGGUGAAAUGCUUAGAUAUGACAUAGAACACCAAUUGCGAAGGCAGCUUACUACGGAUAUAUUGACACUGAGGCACGAAAGCGUGGGGAUCAAACAGGAUUAGAUACCCUGGUAGUCCACGCCCUAAACGAUGGAUACUCGACAUCAGCGAUACACUGUUGGUGUCUGAGCGAAAGCAUUAAGUAUCCCACCUGGGAAGUACGAUCGCAAGAUUGAAACUCAAAGGAAAUUGACGGCNGAGAGNGCGAGACGACACGAGGGAGGAGG